rnacentral:rRNA from 1 species
AGCGAACGCUGGCGGCAGGCCUAACACAUGCAAGUCGAACGAACCCUUCGGGGUUAGUGGCGGACGGGUGAGUAACACGUGGGAACGUGCCUUUAGGUUCGGAAUAACUCAGGGAAACUUGUGCUAAUACCGAAUGUGCCCUUCGGGGGAAAGAUUUAUCGCCUUUAGAGCGGCCCGCGUCCGAUUAGUUAGUUGGUGAGGUAAUGGCUCACCAAGGCUACGAUCAGUAGCUGGUCUGAGAGGAUGACCAGCCACAUUGGGACUGAGACACGGCCCAAACUCCUACGGGAGGCAGCAGUGGGGAAUCUUGCGUAAUGGGCGAAAGCCUGACGCAGCCAUGCCGCGUGGAUGAUGAAGGUCUUAGGAUUGUAAAAUCCUUUCACCGGUGAAGAUAAUGACUGUAGCCGGAGAAGAAGCCCCGGCUAACUUCGUGCCAGCCGCCGCGGUAAGAC